rnacentral:lncRNA from 1 species
AUCAAUCAUGGGUAAGACUCAAUGGGUAACCCAAUCUCCAAGUGAACACAAGGUUCACAAGCAAGGCUCACAUAUCAACCUCCGAGGGAUGCCUAGCUGGACUAUCCCCGAGUACGCCUGCGGAUAACAAGCGGCUAUCCGAGCAGCAAGCAGGCUGCCUCUCUAGUGACCAACUCCGGAGCGCACAACUUGAGGGGAGCGACCCCACCAAGCGCAGACAGGCAAUGUGAGCGUGAUCAACUCACGAGCAACAACAACCCUUUGAGGGUAAUAUUAGCAUAGAUCAAUAAGUUCUUGUACCC